rnacentral:rRNA from 1 species
CCGGGUUGCGGACAGUGUCUGGUGGGUAGUUUGACUGGGGCGGUCUCCUCCUAAAGAGUAACGGAGGAGCACGAAGGUUGGCUAAUCCUGGUCGGACAUCAGGAGGUUAGUGCAAUGGCAUAAGCCAGCUUGACUGCGAGCGUGACGGCGCGAGCAGGUGCGAAAGCAGGUCAUAGUGAUCCGGUGGUUCUGAAUGGAAGGGCCAUCGCUCAACGGAUAAAAGGUACUCCGGGGAUAACAGGCUGAUACCGCCCAAGAGUUCAUAUCGACGGCGGUGUUUGGCACCUCGAUGUCGGCUCAUCACAUCCUGGGGCUGAAGUAGGUCCCAAGGGUAUGGCUGUUCGCCAUUUAAAGUGGUACGCGAGCUGGGUUUAGAACGUCGUGAGACAGUUCGGUCCCUAUCUGCCGUGGGCGCUGGAGAAUUGAGGGGGGCUGCUCCUAGUACGAGAGGACCGGAGUGGACGCAUCACUGGUGUUCGGGUUGUCAUGCCAAUGGCACUGCCCGGUAGCUAAAUGCGGAAGAGAUAAGUGCUGAAAGCAUCUAAGCACGAAACUUGCCCCGAGAUGAGUUCUCCCUGACUCCUUGAGAGUCCUGAAGGAACGUUGAAGACGACGACGUUGAUAGGCCGGGUGUGUAAGCGCAGCGAUGCGUUGAGCUAACCGGUACUAAUGAACCGUGAGGCUUAACCUUACAACGCCGAAGGUGUUU